CAUGAUAUUCCCACCUCUUGGAUAAAUAGAAAAUCUUUGAAUAAUGGAUGGACACAUGAACGUUUCUGGAAUGCAGUAAAGUGAUCUCAUCAAACCGCAAAAGCUUUGUGACCACAGUGAUCAGUAACUCCUGUUUGGUCACCUUGCUGUGCCUUAUGAAGUAGGACUCUGUAGAGGAACUGUUAGUUCAAGCUUAGAACUGGUGGUUGAGCACCUGAUGAAGGGGUGUGUCUGGCCCACAGAGCACAGGCAAAUUGGUUGCACCUGUGUUCCCAAUGUGACCAGAAGGGGUGGACACGCACAGGGCUCAUAUAAGGGCCAGCUGCUAGAAGGAGAGAUUCUCUUGACUGAAGCUGCUUCCUGAGGAGGCCUGUAUAGCUGUAGAGCACCUUCAUAGUUGGUUCCAGAGGGCUCCUCACAUAAGAGCAUGUAAGCUGAGAUGGGUCUUCGGAAUCCAGCUUCUCAUCUAGUGUACCAUCUACUUUAUCAUUUUUCUUCAUUUUUUGGCUUAUGAAUUUCCACAUUAUCAGCUCCAGGGUUCCUACCACCUUCCAGGACAUGAAAUGGCUGAAAUGAGAAAACUGUCCAUAGCUGCAUAAUCCAUACCAGUGAAAGCAGAUCUGCAGACAUUUAGUAGCAGUCACUCAUACAUUCCUUGCUAUAUGCUAUCAAAGGUCAUUGAUCGGCUCAUAGGGAAGUAGGUGGGAAAUAGCUCAUUCCUUAUGAAAUAGCAGAAAUCUUUUUUCCCCUCCUGAAUUCAAAGGGACAAUGCCAAGUUAAUACUCUUAAUUGGCAACUGGAGAGAAAACCUGAUUGCACUUAAAAUUCUACUGCAAGCAAAAGAUGUAAAGUUACUAGAUAAAAGGUUACCAAUCAGUCCUUCAAAUCUCCAUGGAGCAGCAACAUCAACAAAAGUCUAAACGCCACAGCAAGUGAUUUACUUAUUCAAAGACUGUCCGUUGACCUUCUUAAAAGAAUGGAAGCAUGUAGGUAUUGAUUACUGCUUUAAGAAAAAUGCCUUAAAAAUCCUUUUAUAAUUUCAACUUUCGUUGCCCUGAUUUGCAUUAAAUAUUAUGAAUGGAUAGUGUAUCACCUUGGAAAGUGACUUUUUAUUGCAUUAUUCUGACAGAGCUUUUUAGCUUCUUAACAAAGUUAUUUUAAUCCAUGUUUAUAGUGCCAAGGUCUGUCCAUUAUUUUAUAAAAUAAGCAGUUACUAUAAGUGAUGUUGCCAUAUUACCACAUCAUAGAUCUUUACAAAGAGGUUUGAACUGGUAUGUUGUGGGAUGGGUUGUGUAUAAUGGAGUGUGAACUUUUCCUUCAGUGACCUUUUCGCACACAGUAACUCAUCCUCUGAGACAGAACAAGGAAAUAUAUAUUUUUUUAAUAAUGGCUACUAUUAAGGGCUUUAUUUUACUGGUCUCUAACAAGAUGUAGAUGUAGUAUUUGUAGUAUUUUUAGAUGUAGUCAGUAGGGAUGGACUAAUGGAAAAUUAAAGUUAUUUCUAAUGUUCAUUUUUAUCUGUAUUUUGAAGUGUAUUUUGAAGUAUAUUCUGAAAUAUGAGACCAAUAUUCUCAUGUCCUGUAAGGAAUAUUUACUAUUCUCCUGAUUUCUGACAAAUCAUGGUGUAUUUUUUUGAUGUAAAUAAAUUUUUAGUUUAAGAGAGAGGUCAUAUCCUACAGCUGCUUCUGAAAGAAAAAAAAUUGGCUUUGACAAAUUAAUAUGAUCCUCAAUAAAUGACACUGAAAAACUAGCUGCAGGCUGAAGGAGAAUAAGACAAAAAAAUAAGAAAACUCAGGGAUUCUAUUAAGAAGGUUAAAUCUUUGGGCAUUUAUAUGUCUAAAGCAGGGCUUUGGGAAAAAAAAAAAGUAUGAUUCUGCCAAAAUCCAAUUUUCAUUCCAAAAAAGUCUGAUUUAAAAGUUUGAGUGCUCUCAAUUCCAGUAGAGAGUAUGAACCUUCAAAUAGUAAGUUCUGAUGAGCAGGAGGAAGUUUGUUUUACAAUAAACUACAGUGGGCUUUUAUUUAGCUAGAAGUGUAUCAUUCUUAACGUUUUUUCUACUGAAAAAAAUUCUAGUAAACAGCAAAAGCUCAGGACCCUACUCUGUUUUCUUAUUCUGGUAUAGACACAGAUGUAAUUUUACUGAGGUUUAUCCUAAAGCAACUAGAAGUAAAGCUGCUGUGUGUUUGCAGUGUGUUUUCUGAGGUUAUUUAUAAAUAGCGUAAAUUGAUUCUCUGUAGGACAAUCUAGGUUCCAGGUAAGUUUACUUCCAGAAGUAUGCAUUAAUCAAAGAUCUAUCAUAACUGUAAAAGUAUCAUGCCACAUUUACUGUACUUUUCUGACAAUUUCAUGAGUCUAUGUAUGCUUACAAUUUUGAAAGAAUUUUAAAACUGCUACUUUAGUAAGUGCAUCAGGGUAUGUGAAGUCUGUUAGAGCUAUUUAUAUAUCUCCCCGACUAGUUAUUAAACAGAUGACCACUACUCAAGUUCAUCUUGAAGUGCGUGGUCACAUCUUAUGAUAAAUAUUUUACAAUUCCUGUGUUCUGAACAGGAUACUGAAAAAGUGAAAUAAUCCUGUACCUAACAAAUACAUUCAAAGCAUGAUUUAAAAAAGAAAAAGUUUCAGUAUGACUGUCAGAUACACUUGGAACUCCACUGGAAGCCAGUAAGGCAGUACUUCUAGGAGACAGAAACCCUUCCUCAAUGUGUGAAUGGGUGGAGAAAGACAAUGUGCUGUGCCAAGAGGAAGGGCAGAUGACUGAAAGACAAAAGGAACGCUUUGUCAAUACCUAAAAAUACUGAGGAAACUGAGAAAGGUACUUGCAGGCUGGUAUUUAGACAGGAUUUUGAUUUUAUUUUAAUUGCUAACAUCACUUGGGAAAGUUUUUGGAGGGACGUAAGGUGUUAGGAGUCUUCUUAGCUGCUCUGGACAAACUUCCAAUUUCCAGAGAAGGUGGAGGAGCCAGGGACAGAGAAACUGAUUUUUUGCUACUUGACUUAAUUAAAAAGAAAGUAGUUCUAACUCACUGGGAGCCUCAGUUUCCCUAUCUGAUAGAAGGUUUUCAAUAAUUUCUGCAUCUUAAUUAAAUAUUUUGAAAUAUAUGAACUAAGAUAGCUAUCAAAGAGUUGGAUAUGAACUAUGACCUCAGCUAAAAUACUUUUGUGCAUAAUUAAUUUUAAACUCUUAUGCUGUGUGUUUCAUCAAUAGAAAAAAACAUGUCAUACUACUUUCAUAAAUCAAGUUCUGUGUUUGGGUUUUCUAAAAGCUCUAGUUAAGUGAUGACAGAGUUUGUGUGUUCUGCAGAUGUAUAUGAUCAUAAUAUUUACUGGUGAUAUAAGCUGGGCU